rnacentral:rRNA from 1 species
UGGAAGUAAAAGUGGUAACAAGGUUUCCGUAGGUAGAGUUUUGCCUACUACAGCACGCCCACCCGGCGCUUGCUAGUCUCGCGAGAGGCGACACGCUAAAUGUGCGGAGAGUCCUGGCUCGCCAGGUAAUCCGCAGUCACCCUCGGGUGAUUCAGAGACUCAAUGAGCGUGGGUUCUUUUUAAAGAGCUUGAGAUAGAGCCCGUCCUCGCUGGUCACGGCGGGGGUUCAACGGAACCUGCGGAAGGAUCAUUA